rnacentral:rRNA from 1 species
GACGAACGCUGGCGGCGUGCUUAACACAUGCAAGUCGAGCGGUAAGGCCCUUUCGGGGGGUACACGAGCGGCGAACGGGUGAGUAAUACGUGGGUGACCUGCCCUCAGCUCUGGGAUAAGCCCGGGAAACUGGGUCUAAUACUGGAUAUGACUCCACGGUGCAUGCCGUGGGGUGGAAAGCCUUGUGCGGCUGAGGAUGGGCCCGCGGCCUAUCAGCUUGUUGGUGGGGUGAUGGCCUACCAAGGCGACGACGGGUAGCCGGCCUGAGAGGGCGACCGGCCACGCUGGGACUGAGACACGGCCAGACUCCUACGGGAGGCAGCAGUGGGGAAUCUUGCGCAAUGGGCGAAAGCCUGACGCAGCGACG